rnacentral:tRNA from 1 species
GCCCCGGUGGCCGAGCGGUCUAAGGCGUGAGAAGUUAAAUCUCAUUGGGUCUCCAGUCGCGGGUUCGAAUCCCGUCCGGGGCA